rnacentral:rRNA from 1 species
CUGGGCCUACGGGACGCAGCAGUGAGGAAUAUUGGUCAAUGGUCGGGAGACUGAACCAGCCAAGCCGCGUGAGGGAAGACGGCCCUAUGGGUUGUAAACCUCUUUUGUCGGAGAACAAAACCCGGGACGUGUCCCGGACUGCGUGUAUCCGAAGAAAAAGCAUCGGCUAACUCCGUGCCAGCAGCCGCGGUAAUACGGAGGAUGCGAGCGUUAUCCGGAUUUAUUGGGUUUAAAGGGUGCGUAGGCGGUCCGUUAAGUCAGCGGUAAAAUUGCGGGGCUCAACCCCGUCGAGCCGUUGAAACUGG